rnacentral:rRNA from 1 species
AAUUUUGGACAAUGGGGGAAACCCUGAUCCAGCCAUCCCGCGUGUAGGAUGAAGGCCUUCGGGUUGUAAAGUACUUUUGGCAGAGAAGAAAAGGCAUCCCCUAAUACGGGAUGCUGCUGACGGUAUCUGAAGAAUACGCACCGGCGAGCGACGUUCCAGCAGCCGCGGUAAUACGUAGGGUGCAAGCUUUAAUCGGAAUUACGGGGCGUAAGGCGUGUGGAGGCGGUACGGAGAGAAAGAUGUGAAAUCCCAGGGCUCAACCUUGGAACUGCAUUUUUAACUGCCGAGCUAGAGUAUGUCAGAGGGGGGUAGAAUUCCACGUGUAGCAGUGAAAUGCGUAGAUAUGUGGAGGAAUACCGAUGGCGAAGGCAGCCCCCUGGGAUAAUACUGACGCUCAGACACGAAAGCGUGGGGAGCAAACAGG